AAUAAAAAGACCAGCCGACGAGCCCUAGUGAUCCCUCAGCUACCUGCGAGCGAUCUGCGCAAGAUAAAUUAAAAAAAUCCCCUCGCAGGAUAAAACUAUGUCUCCGGCGUUGGCGUAUCUAUAGGUCUGGCUGUGCAAAGCUCGCGGGAAUAUGUUAACGUCGUGAUAAGGGAUCGGUCGCUUGCUUCUCUCGCGGAGGGAGGGCUGUUCUCUCCGGAAGAAAGGCUCGCGCUGACGAUCCCAAGGAUCGGCGGCGGUGAUGACGGCCGGGAGGCGGCGCCCGGCUUCGGAGGCGCGACGGUGCGGCGGCCAUAUCCUAGGGUCGUCGCGGAGGGAGGGACCUCGUCGGCGGCGAGGGUGUGUAGUUGCGGCGGCGGGCCACGUAUCCGUCCGGUGCGAUCCAAGUUCUCUUUCGUCUUAGUCCCUACCACCGUGAAGCUAUACGCCGCUCCUGUGAACCAGCUAAGUGCGAGGCUUCUGGUGUCCCCAAGCCGUAGAGUAGCUGACGCCGUCUCCUAGUUGUCGCCAAGGACGGUGCCGAGUAGUUGUGCUUACCGGAGUGUCGACUCGUUGUUUUUCUACAACGUUCGGCGGAUCACGUUUAGCUACCCUUCUUUCUCCUCGACAUGUUAUACUAAAGACCGGAACUUUCCUCGAUGUUGCAAUCACCGUUCUAUCAGGCCGUUUUACCAGCCGACCGCGCAGUAGAAAGACAUGAUCAGUUCGGAUUUGGGUUACUGGGAAUGACCGCAAACGUAAGUUCUAGUGUUUCUUAAUACCUGACGUAUGUAAAAUACCCCCCGACAACAAAUCCGGGACACUAACACUCACCAAAACGGACCACCUACUGUCUCCGUGUACGUCUUCUUUUUCUACUAUCAGAACCUACUUGUUCGUUUUUGUCACUUGUCUUUGAACCGGUUUGAAAACUUCCAAACUGAAUUCUGUUUGGAUUACACGCCUCAUUUUUAUUUGUCUCCCUCGUACAGAAUAGACUGACUCCUCAUUUCCAAGUUUGAGACCUUAACAUAUACUUACGACUGUGAACAUACGUGGAUAAUUACCUACUAAUGAAACUACUAGAUAGUGAACAAUAAAACAAGAGAGAGAGAAGACACGAACAACUUCCCUGACUUCAAUACAGUAACAGAUACAUAUACUAAAACGGUGGAUCAUAGUAGGUUUAUUUAUACCCAACUAUUUAUACG
rnacentral:rRNA from 1 species